rnacentral:rRNA from 1 species
CCCUUAGAUGUCCGGGGCCGCACGCGCGCUACACUGAAGGAAUCAGCGUGGCUUUCUCCCUGACCCGAAAGGGUUGGGAAACCCGUUGAAUCUCCUUCGUGAUAGGGAUUGGGGCUUGAAAUUGUUCCCCAUGAACGAGGAAUUCCCAGUAAGCGCGAGUCAUAAGCUCGCGUUGAUUACGUCCCUGCCCUUUGUACACACCGCCCGUCGCUACUACCGAUUGAACGGUUUAGUGAGGGCCUCGGAUUGGUCUCGGCCCGCUCUUUACCGGGCGGGGCCGUUGGUCGAGAAGACGCUCGAACUUGAUCGUUUAGAGGAAGUAAAAGUCGUAACA